GCCAAAGAAGGGAACUGUUGUGUGUGAUUUAGGAAAGGAACCUACCCACCUGUCACCCGACUACAUUUCCAGUGUCGAUUCUGGACUUUAUCUCACUCCAGUCAUAAUGAAAAAGAUGCCGUAUUGAAAAGAGUCCUUCCGAGGCCGUCGGGUCCUUUUCCCCAGCAACCUGGCACCACCAAGGGCUACCAGCAAGGCACCGUGUCAGGUGCUG